UGGUCACUCUCUUGGGCUUGAAAUGGAACAGAUCUUCUUGUUCCAUCUCUUUCUGAUAGCGCCAGUUCCUGCUGAGGACAGAACAUUGUCUUCUUUUCUCCCUGCCUCAGGCAGAUGGCAGGGAGUGUUGUGUGUUCCCACAAAGGAGCGUGCUGUCCCCGCUCCCGAGUCUCUCAGCGAGCCCUGUCAUGGAAGGCAUCCAGGAGAAUGUGGAACUCCGCACCCGCUUUCUCAGAACAGAGGAGCAUCCAUGACCCUCAGAAUCACAGCAUUGAGAGGUAUGUAUCAACUCCAGGUCUCUGCAUUUGUCCGCGUUCUUCACUGUCAUGUGGCUCCUCCCGAUGUGAUAGCAAAGAUGCCCGUGGACAAACCAGGCUUGGGUCCAUCAUGUUGGCAAUCUGGAGGAAGCCGAGCACUUUUUCUCCAACUGACUCAGUCCCAGGACUGGCUCUCAUUUGCCCAGCUUGUGCAGUGCUCAAUGUUACAGCUUCAAACAUAGAAGAUACAAGAAGUAAAUGCUGAGAUUUCGCUAUUUGUUAACCUAUCAUGUGAUGAACCUAUACAAAUUGUGUAAAGCAAAUGUUUUCAGGCAUUGGAUGUCA
ensembl:lncRNA LINC01591 long intergenic non-protein coding RNA 1591